rnacentral:lncRNA from 1 species
UCUGACCAUGCAUCCCCAAUACCCCAUCAUCUCCAAUAGUCACAUCCCUAGAAUCGCCAUGCUAAACUGUGUUCCUGAGGACAAGCAAAUGAGGGUCAUCAUACUACCGCUCCCUGAUACGAUUGAACAAUGAAGACCGAGAAACCACACAGGCUAGAACCUGACUGGGCUCAAAAAUUUCCAAUCUCGCGAACUGACUGGCUAAGGCCUGAACAUCCAUCGUCAUGGGUCUCUCUGAAGCUGGUAAAUAUGCCAAACGCUUCGCCCGGUGACUCAAGGCAUCAGCUACUACAUUGGCC